UACGUAGGGGGCAAGCGUUGUCCGGAAUCAUUGGGCGUAAAGAGCGUGUAGGCGGCUUGGUAAGUCCGCUGUGAAAGUCCAGGGCUCAACCCUGGAAAGCCGGUGGAAACUGUCAAGCUUGAGUCCGGAAGAGGCGAGUGGAAUUCCUGGUGUAGCGGUGAAAGGCGUAGAUAUCGGGAGGAACACCUGUGGCGAAAGCGGCGCACUGGACCAUAACUGACGCUGAGGCGCGAAAGCUAGGGGAGCAAACAGG
rnacentral:rRNA from 1 species